GAUGAAGAGCGCAGCGAAAUGCGAUAAGUAAUGUGAAUUGCAGAAUUCAGUGAAUCAUCGAAUCUUUGAACGCACAUUGCGCCCGCCAGUAUUCUGGCGGGCAUGCCUGUCUGAGCGUCAUUUCAACCCUCAUGCCCCUAGGGCGUGGUGUUGGGGAUCGGCCAAAGCCCGCGAGGGACGGCCGGCCCCUAAAUCUAGUGGCGGACCCGUCGUGGCCUCCUCUGCGAAGUAGUGAUAUUCCGCAUCGGAGAGCGAUGAGCCCCUGCCGUUAAACCCCCAACUUUCCAAGGUUGACCUCAGAUCAGGUAGGAAUACCCGCUGAACUUAAGCAUAUCAAUAAGCGGAGGA
rnacentral:misc_RNA from 1 species